GGCUGGGGGUACAUGUGGGAAUACCCCAUCGCCAAGGCAUUUGUGGACUCGCAAGUUCAGCCUAUCUACGGAGGAACCAACGAGAUCAUGAAGGAGCUCAUCGCUCGUACCAUCGUCAGCCAGAAGUGAAACUGGGUUGUUGUUUUUAAAUUUAGGAAUUCAGAAUCUUCAGGUACAAUGUAAAAAGACUGGAUCUAGUGUAGCUAAAAACAACACCGGGAACGUGUCCUGAUGACAGCCAUGCUUUUUCACAGUUAAAAUUUAACAACAUACUCAGAAAAAACAAAAACCCACAAAACUGUCAAUAAAGAUCUCCAGUUUAGUUUUUUUUUUCUUUUUUUUUCUGUAGGUAUUACACUCAUAUCGUUAUGUGAAUUACUUUGGCUGUGAUAGCCGUGCAGUGGAAGUGUGAAUGUGAACACCAGUACGUCCACUGGUUUAAUUAUACUUGAAAUUUUCAGAUCGAUAAAGGGAAUAAAAGAACACUGUUUGCUCUUUGCUCUAAUUCUGUAAAUGUUCAACCACUGUAUUCCCCUUUAUGACCCUUUUAAAGAGAAGUUUUGAGCAGCAGGUGGGCGGAGCUUCUGCCCUCACACGACUAUAUAUGUAAUAUUAAGGAUGGACAUACACUGAUCUCAUGAGUUGAAUCUUUGGACAUAAUAAUAAUAAUUUUAGCAUUCAGCAUUGCUACAGUACACAUAUGACAGGAAAUACAGAGAAUUUUCUUUAACAAAGUUUGUCAGGAAUGCCUUGUUUUAGCAUUGCUAAUGUGGCCAGUCUGCAUCAGAUUAAAGAUAUCUGACGUAAUUUCCCUUAUAGGAGGUUUUCUUCAAAAUCAGUGUUUGUUAAUAUGCACUUAAAUGCCUGCUUUCAUAAUCUGCCACUCUCAGAUAAUUUACAAGGGGCAUGAACAAUGUUUAACACAAGACACUUGUUGUAAUUUGAUUUUUUUUGCCAAUAAAAACCUUGUCAAAGUGCAUGAAGCACUAA